rnacentral:lncRNA from 1 species
UGGUCUUCCUGUCAUAUAUGUAUAUGUGUAUAUAACACCUGUGUACAUACCAUUGCCAGGGCGUAGUCAAAGGCUCCUGGUCUUUACUAUAAACCUGCCAGGGCGUAGUCAAAGGCUCCUGGACUUUGCUAUACCUGCCAGGGCGUAGUCAAAGGCUCCUGGACUUCCUGUCUGUGACUAUUGGAUCAUUCAGCAUUUACCCACAUCAACAAUGUAUUAUGCAAUGCAACAUAUUCGUGGAUACUAAUGCACUCAACCUAUUGCAUAAUCAUGAUGCAUGAAAUAUGCUAAAACAUUCCAUUGUGCAAG